rnacentral:rRNA from 1 species
UAACAGUUCGAAAGGACUGCUAAUACCGGAUGUGAUCGCGGAGAUUAGAGGCUCUGUGAUUAAAGGAGAAAAUUCGCUUCGAGAGGGGCCUGCGUCCCAUCAGCUAGUUGGUAAGGUAAAGGCUUACCAAGGCGAUGACGGGUAGGGGACCUGAGAGGGUGGCCCCCCACAAUGGAACUGAAACACGGUCCAUACACCUACGGGUGGCAGCAGUAGGGAAUAUUGCAUAAUGGGCGAAAGCCUGAUGCAGCAACGCCGCGUGUGCGAUGAAGGCCUUCGGGUCGUAAAGCACUUUUGGAGGGGAUGAGGAAGGACAGUACCCUUCGAAUAAGCUUCGGCUAACUACGUG